AUUGAACGCUGGCGGCAGGCCUAACACAUGCAAGUCGAACGAGUGGCGGACGGGUGCGUAAUGUCUGGGAAACUGCCUGCUGGAGGGGGCUCACUAAUGGAAAAGGUAGCUAAUACCGCAUACACUCGAAUGUGCCCAGAUAGGAUUAGCUAGUAGGGGGGGUAAAGGCUCACAUAGGCGACGAUCCCUAUCUGGUCUGAGAGGAUGACCAGCCACACUGGAACUGAUACACGGUCCAGACUCCUACGGGAGGCAGCAGUGGGGAAUAGUGCACAAUGGGCGCAAGCCUGAUGCAGCCAUGCCGCGUGUAUGAAGAAGGCCUUCGGGUUGUAAAGUACUUUCAGCGGGGAGGCGUUACCCGCAGAAGAAGCACCGGCUAACGCCGUGCCAGCAGCCGCGGUAAUAC
rnacentral:rRNA from 1 species